rnacentral:rRNA from 1 species
GUGACCUCAAUCAGGAGGACUACCCGCUGAACUUGGGGG